rnacentral:pre_miRNA from 1 species
UUUUACGGAUGAGCAAAAAAAGUGGCUUCCUGAGAUGGAGCCUACUCCUGGUGAAGAUGCUGUGAG